rnacentral:tRNA from 1 species
GGGCCGGUGGCGGAAUUGGUAGACGCAGCAGACUCAAAAUCUGCCGCCGCAAGGCGUGAGAGUUCGAGUCUCUCCCGGCCCA